rnacentral:lncRNA from 1 species
CGUACUCCUCGAACCUGAGGCAUCAUGGUUGCUUCACAUAUAGAUUGCUACCGUUUGACUGUACUAAUACUUAGACUCUAAUCAUUGAUCUACAUCUGGUACUGAUUGGUUGUACUUAGGGGUGGAAACGAGCCGAGCUCGAGCGAGCUUAUGUCAGCUCAAAUUCGGCUUGAAAUUAAUUUCGAGCCUAAAUCUAGGCUCAAGCUCUGCUUGAAAUUAAUUCGAGCCGAGCUCAAGCGAGCCUAAUUUCGAGUCGAGCCGAGCUCGAGCUCUAAACGAGCCGAUUGAAAUUGUCAACAUUAUAUAAUCAAUAGUUUAAUUUUUAUAAAACAUUACCUAUAAUUUGAUGCAACAUGUUCAAUAGUUCAAAAUACAAAAUAAUUGUAAGAAAUGUGAGCUAGGGUGACUGCCUGACUAGGUGAGGGUCAGAGAGAGAGAGAGAGAGAGGGAAAAAAAUUGGGGAUUUGGGAAUUUGAAUGUUAUCAUAUUUUAGGGUUAUGUACAAUAGUAAAAGUCUGAAAGAGAGAGUGUGUUAUGUAAAUUUAGAGUUGGGCUCAAUUGCACGGUUGUACUUGUUGGGUUUAUUUUAUGGGCCAACAAUAAUGGCCCAAAUUAAAUUAAAGCCUAUAUAUAAUUAAAAUACAUAUUAUAUAUAUAUAUAUAUAGAGUCCGGCUACUAUACUUUUAUGAGUAUUGGCUCCUUUAUACUCAUAAGUUUUCGACCCUUAGAUUUAUUCCAUUAAUCAUUUUCAUCCGUUAGAUCAUACUAUUUAACCAACUACCCACUCAACCCUAGGGGACCACUAUCAUUCUAAGUGGGGACCACCAUCAUCCUAACCACACAUCCCAUCAAUCAACGGUUAAAAAUUUAUGAGUACAAGGGGGUCUAUACUCAUAAGAGUAUAGUAACCCCAGCAUAUAUAUAUAUAUAUAUAUAUAUUUUCGAGCUUUCGAGCUUUUCAAGCCUAAUUCGAACGAGCCGAGUAAUACUCAAGCUCGGCUUGAAAUGAAUUUCGAGCCUUUUAUUUUGUUCAAGCUCGGCUCAUUUAAUUUCGAGUCGAGCUCGAGCGAGCCGAAUAUCGAGCCGAACAUGAGUCGAACGCGAGCCGGCUCG